rnacentral:rRNA from 1 species
UACGGAGGGUGCAAGCGUUAUCCGGAUUCACUGGGUUUAAAGGGUGCGUAGGUGGGCAGGUAAGUCAGUGGUGAAAUCUCCGGGCUUAACCCGGAAACUGCCGUUGAUACUAUCUGUCUUGAAUAUAGUGGAGGUGAGCGGAAUAUGUCAUGUAGCGGUGAAAUGCUUAGAUAUGACAUAGAACACCCAUUGCGAAGGCAGCCCGCUACACUAUCAUUGACGCUGAGGCACGAAAGCGUGGGGAUCAAACAGG